UAAAGGUCUUCAAGGCUCCAACACCAUUAUAAGCAUUCUGGCUGUGGCUGUGGUAUUUCAGAGGCAUAAAGCCUCUGAGGAACUGUGCUCCCAGAAGGAAUCAGAGAACCAUCACAUCACAUACAUAGAGCAGAGUGGAAGAAGCCUAAUGACAGCAGCUCCCUUCCAGUUCAUCUGUUAUGUUCUACUGUAGCAAGAAGUUAUUUCUCCCCAGAGAGUGUGUCUCCUUGUUUCCUGUUCUUAUCAUCCCCCUCUAAAGAAUGAGAAGCCUCAGGAAACAAAAUGGAAGAAAAGAACAAGCAGAUUAAGAAUUUGAACUAAGAUGUUGUCCUUUGGCAAGCAGAUUUCAUCUGUCUUUCCGCAACUGAGCUCAAGGACUUUUCUUACAUCUGAAGUGGAUGUAAGGGGCAUACCUAGAACCCUUGCACUUGUUUUAUGUACACUGAAAUAAUAACAAAAGUUGAAGGCACAGUCCCAUGCACAUGUAAAGAGCAAAUGCUGAAGGCCAUUAGAUAAGCUGUACUUCUUUUCUGAUGGAAGAAUUCUCUGUCUGUGAUGCAGCUGGAAUCUGCCAGUGCAUGAAUUCAACUUUGGUUUAUCCAGGAGGGGACCUAUUUUGUGCACAGUGGUGAUGAGACCAGGAGUAUACUGCAUGAGUCCAAGGCAAAUGUACUGAGAAGGGAACCAACUCCUCACUUGUUAAGGUAGACUCACUCAUAGUGUUUCAGUGACAAGCAAAUAGCAAGUGUAAAUGGAGUCAUAGUGAAACUUUCUUCUUCUCAGCACCAUAUCGCAUUUUUAGUUGGAGAGAAAUUUCAAAAUUCAAAGAGAAUUCACCGCCUGCAUAGCUUGGGAGACCCAUACCACAACAUUCUGUAGUGUAUUUAAAGAAACAAAAUCAUUUUGAUCUUACUUCUGAAUGUUUACUUGUAGGCAAAUACUUGUGAACGUUUUUUGUUAGCUUGAUUCAGAUUUGCUAUAUUUAUGGUGCGAACUCCAUAGAUUUUUUUAAUUACAAUUAGUCAAAUAAUUGUGCUUAUCCCUUCAUACCAAACAUAUAGCUUGAAGGGCAAUGAGGGUAUAAAAAUGAAGGAAAUUCAGUGUUGCCCACCUCUUGCAUUGAUUAGCUUGAAAGAAAGAUAGUUAUUAUGUUAUAGAAGAAGUAAUUUGACUUGCAAAUAUGGACACAGUGUCUUUUGAGUAUCAUUUGUGGUUGCUCUUCAUAAACGAUACUGUUUCAGUCGCUUUCUCAGUGCAGUUUAAAAAGUUUGCAUAAUGUAACUGACAGAAGGAUUACUUACCUAAUGCAAAGCCUGUGGAGAGGAUUCAGAUAUCAGUAACCUUGAAUUAUGGCCUUCAGCAUGUAAGUUAAAUUCCUGUGGCAAGCCUAGAUAUACCUGACAUAGGACAGGAAAGCAAGGUGUUUUCAUAUUGCUUGUGCAGUUCUGCAGUGGUCAGUGUAUGUAAAAUUAAUUUCUACAAUGUCAAGAGACUAUCAUCAUGCCAGCUACCUUCUUACUAAUGAAAAUGUACAAAUGUACAUCUCUUAUUGGACAACUAAAGGCUUAAGAUAUUUUCCUCCUUUUUUUUUUUUUUUUUUAAAGUUGUGGUACUCAAUAUGCCUAACCUCAAACCUCUCUGCUUCUCCUAUAUUUUGGAAUUAAAAACAACUCUGAUGCCUGAGGCAACGUAGGUAGGUAAGUGAUUGACUGCAGACAUUUAUUGUUAGGGUUUUUUAAGUGAAAUCAUCAAGGAUGUGGCUGAUUUUAUUUAUUUAUUUAUUUUUGUGAUAGGAGGUUAAUGACAUUUCUGUAUCAAUUGCUGUAGUGAUUUUAAGGGUGUAAUAUUGAAAAGGAAAGAUGUUUUCUCCUUGACAGAGGUCCCAGUUAAAGACAGUUGAUACCCUCCUGGCUCAGAGUUGCUGUUGAUCCUGGAAGUCCAUCUCCAGGAGUGACAAUGGCAAAUACUGAUCAGGGAUUGUGUGGUUAUACAUGUUCUCUGGUCCUUUGUCCUCAUACUCUUUCAGCAUUUACUGCUGUACUAGACACAUUAGUGAGUGUAUCCUUUCCUAGUUCUUUUAGUACCCACCAUGUAUGGUGACUGAAAUUUUUUUCUGUGAUCCUACUAAAAUUUCCUCCACAACCUCCUGUGGCAGCAAGGUUCUCUGCUUACUAUCAAAAGCAGUUUUUAUCUCUUUUGGGCUAACUCCCACUGUUUUCUUCAUGGGUUCCCAAUGUCUUGCAUUCCAGGGUUGGGUGAAUGGCUAUAUAUCUAUUGCUUUUGCAACUUUGUAAACUGAAUUCCUGUCCCAUUCUGACUUAGGGGUCCCAGCAUUUUUUAUUUUAUUAUUUUUUUCAGUCUCUGUCUUCUACAUAUUUAUCUAGCCGCGGCUACUGAUGCCCUGUCUAUGAACAUAGCAUGUAUAUUUGUAAAUAGGAGUCCAGCCCUAUAGGGUUGAACAGCCUUGAGGGAACAGGUCUGCUGGUACCAAAUUUCAGAUAUGUUUGUUAUGGUGUUACUAAAGUCUAAAAGGAACUAACAUAUUAGCAUAACAAUGUUAUUUUCUGCCUCUAUAGAAGUUUUCGUGAGAAAAUCUGGAAAUGUUUAUCUAAAUAUUAAUGAAAUCUUCAUAAAUUUCUUAUAAAGUAUUAUUCAUUAAGAAAAAAGAUGCAUGAGUCUAAACAAUAAGUCCUAAAAUAUGCUGUACAACAAAUGAUAUUCUGCACUGCCUAAUAAUUUUUACAUAAAAUAUUAAAAAUUAUUUAAUUACACUGUAGGUUUUUGCUUCAGUCAAGGCAUUGCUUUGGGGUUUGAGUUUAACUAUGAUCUUUUCAUUAUAUGCAUAAAAUCUGCAGAGUCAAAGUAACUAAAAUGUUAUGUUCUGCAUAUGGUCCCAAAUAUACAUAGUUUUACCACUUGUUAAAAUAGGGAAAUGAUGACAUUAUUAUGAGGCAAUGAGUAUAAAGCCUAUUUAAUAAAAAAUAUUACUGUACAAAUAGUAUUUAAAAAUUCAUAUUGUUUCAUUUAUGGAAAGAAUAUUGCUUGUUUCUUGGUUAGUAGGGUACAAUAACUCUAAACUGUCCAAAUGUUUUAACAAUUUAUUCAUGAAUCUUGAUUAAACACUAACCUAAAUUCAAGUUUUGCCCAUGCUUGAGUGUAA